rnacentral:rRNA from 1 species
AUGGCGCCGCUCUCAUGGCGGCACCAUACGCUGCUGCAGGCGCUGCUCUCCCGUGGACCGCUCUCGGAGCGAGACUUCCACGCCCUCUUCACCGCCAUCUCCGGCGGCAAGAACCCCGCCACUCACCAGCAACUAUUCAGUGAUACACUUAUGAAGAUCAACAAUGAGCUAGGGUAUUUACAAUUUGAUCUGCGAGCAUGUAUAAACCAGUAUGAUGGAACAGUUUAUUAUGGAGUGGUCAACAACAUUUCUGAUGAAGAAUCGAAGCUUGGCUCCAAGUAUUCCGUACCACAGAUUGCAUUCUACAAGGGACUGUUAGAAGCAAUAGUUCAUGAAGCUGGAAAUGAUGGGAGCAUAACUAGUAUUGAAGCUCUCCACGUCCGGAUUGACAACCAGGUCGUGAUUGCGGAUGGUACACAAGACACUCAAUCUCGUCUUCCUUCUUCUAUCACAAAUUUCUUGUUCUCUCAAAAGGAAAAGACUCUUACUGAACUGAUACAAGAUCGUUGGCUGGCGUACACCUCGGAGGGCAAGAUUGGUCUUGGUAUCAGAUCAUUUCUUGAUCUCCGGAGCUGGUUUCGCAGCAAUGAUAUCCCAUCAUGCGAGGUUUGCAAUGAAGCUGGUAUAAAGGCAUCAACUUGUUCCAAGGAGGGAUGCAAUGUGAGAAUCCAUAUCUACUGUCUGAAGAAGAAAUUUCCGCAGCGGAAGGCUUCGAGAGCUUGUCCCCAGUGUGCUACUGAAUGGCCCCAGCAGGAAGGCGAGGACGAGGGCGACGGGGAAGCGAACGAGCCCGGCGGGGAAGGUCAGGAGGGCCCAUCGGCCGACCCUCCUUCGAGGAGGAAACGCAGAGUCAAGGCUGAACUGGCGGAGGAAGCUGAAGAAGCAGGCCCGUCGACCGCGGUGCCCAGGAGAAGUUCGAGGAUGGCCAAAGCCGAGGAGGCAGCGGCUGCAGAUGCUUCACAGCCGGCCAGGUCCUCAAAGAGAAGGAAGAAAUGA